CAAUAGCGUAUAUUAAAGUUGUUGCGGUUAAAAGCUCGUAGUUGGAUUUCUACCGAAGACAGCCGGUCCACACUACGUGUGCGCAUCUGGUGUGACUUCGGUAUCCUCAUGGAGAACAGUUCUGCACUUUAUUGUGUGGACUGGUAUUCAUGACUUUUACUUUGAGGAAAUUAGAGUGUUCACGGCAAGCUUUCGCUUUGAAUACAUUAGCAUGGAAUAAUAAUAUAGGGCGUGAGUCUUAUUUUGUUGGUUUCUAGGACAUACGCAAUGAUUAAUAGGGACAAUUGGGGGCAUUCGUAUUAACGCGUCAGAGGUGGAAUUCUUAGAUUGCGUUACGACGAACUACUGCGAAAGCAUUUGCCAAGGAUGUUUUCAUUGAUCAAGAACGAAAGUAUGGGAUCGAAGACGAUCAGAUACCAU
rnacentral:rRNA from 1 species